rnacentral:misc_RNA from 1 species
UACGUAGGUGGCAAGCGUUGUCCGGAAUUAUUGGGCGCAAAGCGCGCGCAGGCGGCCCGGUAAGUCAGAUGUGAAAGCCCCCGGCUCAACCGGGGAUGUCCAUGGGAAACUGGGAGGCUUGAGUAUAGGAGAGAAGAGUGGAAUUCCACGUGUAGCGGUGAAAUGCGUAGAGAUGUGGAGGAACACCAGUGGCGAAGGCGACUCUUUGGCCUAUAACUGACGCUGAGGCGCGAAAGCGUGGGGAGCAAACAGG